rnacentral:rRNA from 1 species
CCCUUAGAUGUUCUGGGCCGCACGCGCGCUACACUGAGUGUCUGAGAUACGAGUCUGCCUGGUCCGGCAAGGUCUAGGUAAUCGCUAAAAGACACAUCAUGCUUGGGAUAGAUUAUUGCAAAUAUUAAUCUUGAACGAGGAAUUCCUAGUAAGCGCAAGUCAACAGCUUGCGUUGAUUACGUCCCUGCCCUUUGUACACACCGCCCGUCGCUACUACUGAUUGGAUGUUUAAGCGAGGUUCUCGAACUGCUAGCGACUUAGCUUCGGUGAGGUCGCAGUGUGGGGAGUGAACCUAGCUUUGGUGUCUAGAGGAAGUAAAAGUCGUAACA